AAUAUUGCACAAUGGGGGAAACCCUGAUGCAGCGACGCCGCGUGAGUGAAGAAGUAUUUCGGUAUGUAAAGCUCUAUCAGCAGGGACGAUAAUGACGGUACCUGACUAAGAAGCCCCGGCUAACUACGUGCCAGCAGCCGCGGUAAUACGUAGGGGGCAAGCGUUAUCCGGAUUUACUGGGUGUAAAGGGAGCGUAGACGGUAGGGUAAGACAGAUGUGAAAGCCCGGGGCUCAACCCCGGGAUUGCAUUUGAAACUAUCCGACUAGAGUGCAGGAGAGGUAAGUGGAAUUCCUAGUGUAGCGGUGAAAUGCGUAGAUAUUAGGAGGAACACCAGUGGCGAAGGCGACCAUCUGGCCGAACACUGACGCUGAGGCGCGAAAGCGUGGGGAGCAAACAGG
rnacentral:rRNA from 1 species